GGCGGAUGCCUUGGCUCUCGGAGGCGAUGAAGGACGUGAUAAGCUGCGAUAAGCUCCGGGGAGGUGCAAAUAACCUUUGAUCCGGGGAUUUCCGAAUGGGACAACCCGGCGUGUUGAAGACACGCCACCUGAUCAUUUCAGGAGCUAACGCAGGGAACUGAAACAUCUUAGUACCUGCAGGAAAAGAAAAUAACAAUGAUUCCCCCAGUAGUGGCGAGCGAACGGGGAAUAGCCCAAACCGUUCAUGUUACGGCAUGAUCGGGGUUGUAGGACUACGUCGUUGCAUGAAGACAUCGGAGAAGAACUUUCUGGAAAGAAAGACCAUAGAGCAUGACAGUUGCGUAUUCGUAUGUUGUCGAAGCAUAGUAGUAUCCUGAGUAGCGCGGAGCACGAGGAAUUCUGCGUGAAUCUGCCGGGACCAUCCGGUAAGGCUAAAUACUCCCGAGAGACCGAUAGCGAACCAGUACCGUGAGGGAAAGGUGAAAAGCACUUCGAACAGAAGAGUGAAAUAGUUCCUGAAACCGUGCGCCUACAAGCGGUCGGAGCUCGUUAAUGAGUGACGGCGUGCCUUUUGCAUAAUGAACCUACGAGUUGCCUUUGCCGGCAAGGUUAAGUGUGACGACACACGUAUCCGAAGCGAAAGCGAGUCUGAAGAGGGCGUAUAGUCGGCAGUGGCAGACGCGAAACCAAGUGAUCUACCCUUGGCCAGGUUGAAGGCUGGGUAACACCAGCUGGAGGACCGCACCAAUAAGCGUUGAAAAGCUUCUGGAUGAGCUGAGGGUAGGGGUGAAAGGCUAAUCAAACUUGGAGAUAGCUCGUACUCCCCGAAAUGCAUUUAGGUGCAGCCUUGCGGGUUACUGAUGUGAGGUAGAGCGACUGAUAAGAUGCGAGGGCUUCACCGCCUAUCAAGUCUUGACAAACUCCGAAUGCGUGUCAGUUCUAUGUCAGGAGUGAGGGCAUGGGUGCUAAGGUCCAUGUCCUAAAGGAGAACAAUCCGGACCAACAGCUAAGGUCCCGAAAUGAAUACUAAGUUGAACUAACGAAGUCAGAUUGCUAAGACAGCUAGGAUGUUGGCUUGGAAGCAGCCAUUCAUUUAAAGAGUGCGUAACAGCUCACUAGUCGAGGAGUUUGGCGUGGAUAAUAAUCGGGCAUUAAGUAUUCUACCGAAGCUUUGGGAUGUGUAAACAUCGGUAGGGGAGCAUUCCACUCUGCGUCGAAGGUGAAGCGUGAGCUUUGCUGGAGCGUGUGGAAAAGCAAAUGUAGGUAUAAGUAACGAUAAAGGGGGUGGGAAACCCCCUCGCCGAAAGACUAAGGUUUCCUGAUCAACGCUAAUCGGAUCAGGGUAAGUCGGGUCCUAAGGCUCAGCCGAACGGCGAGGCCGAUGGCAGAACCGGUUAAUAUUCCGGUACUACCUGUGGGAGUGACGUGGAGACGGAGUCGUGACAGCGCCGCGGACUGACGGAAUAGUCCGUUGAAGGGUGUAGAUGCUGAUUGUUCCAGGCAAAUCCGGAGCAAGAGUCGAACCUGAUAGUAUGGAGCGUUCUUAGAACAAUCCAAUAGUGCGUGUAAUCAUACUUCCAAGAAAAUCCGCUAAACUUAAUCCUGCAGGUACCCGUACCGCAAACGGACACACGUAGUCGGGUUGAAUAUACUAAGGCGCUUGAGUGAUUCACGGUUAAGGAACUAGGCAAACUGACCCUGUAACUUCGGGAUAAAGGGUCCCUACCCGGUGACGGGAGGGCGCAGAGAAUAGGUCCAGGCAACUGUUUAACAAAAACACAGGGCUGUGCUAAAUUGAAAGAUUACGUAUACAGCCUGACACCUGCCCGGUGCUGGAAGGUUAAGAGGAGAUGUCAUCGCAAGAGAAGCGUUGAAUUGAAGCCCCAGUAAACGGCGGCCGUAACUAUAACGGUCCUAAGGUAGCGAAAUUCCUUGUCGGGUAAGUUCCGACCUGCACGAAUGGUGUAAUGAUCUGGACACUGUCUCAACCGUGAGCUCGGUGAAAUUGUAGUAUCGGUGAAGAUGCCGAUUACCCGCGAUGGGACGAAAAGACCCCGUGAACCUUUACUAUAGCUUAUCAUUGAAUCUGGGCACGUGAUGUGUAGGAUAGGUCGGAGGCUUUGAAGCAGGUACGCCAGUAUUUGUGGAGCCGCUGUUGAAAUACGACCCUUUAUUUGUUUGGAUUCUAACCCGUGGAACGGGGACAUUGAUUGGUGGGUAGUUUGACUGGGGUGGUCGCCUCCAAAAGCGUAACGGAGGCUUCUA
rnacentral:rRNA from 1 species